UGAGGAAUAUUGGUCAAUGGACGCAAGUCUGAACCAGCCAAGUAGCGUGCAGGAUGACGGCCCUAUGGGUUGUAAACUGCUUUUGUUUGGGAAUAAUCGACAUUACGUGUAAUGUUUUGCAUGUACCAUUCGAAUAAGGACCGGCUAAUUCCGUGCCAGCAGCCGCGGUAAUACGGUAGGUCCGGGCGUUAUCCGGAUUUAUUGGGUUUAAAGGGAGCGUAGGCUGUCUAUUAAGCGUGUUGUGAAAUAUACCGGCUCAACCGGUGGCUUGCAGCGCGAACUGGUCGACUUGAGUAUGCAGGAAGUAGGCGGAAUUCAUGGUGUAGCGGUGAAAUGCUUAGAUAUCAUGACGAACUCCGAUUGCGCAGGCAGCUUACUGUAGCAUAACUGACGCUGAUGCUCGAAAGUGCGGGUAUCAAACAGG
rnacentral:rRNA from 1 species